rnacentral:rRNA from 1 species
UACGUAGGGUGCGAGCGUUGUCCGGAAUCAUUGGGCGUAAAGGGCGCGUAGGUGGCUUCUCAAGCGUGCGGUGAAAGCCUGGGGCUCAACCCCGGGUCGGCCGUGCGAACUGGGGGGCUGGAGCACUGUAGAGGCAGGCGGAAUUCCGGGUGUAGCGGUGGAAUGCGUAGAGAUCCGGAAGAACACCGGUGGCGAAGGCGGCCUGCUGGGCAGUUGCUGACACUGAGGCGCGACAGCGUGGGGAGCAAACAGG